AUUGAACGCUGGCGGCAGGCCUAACACAUGCAAGUCGAACGGAGCGGCGGACGGGGGCGGAAUACCUAGGAAUGUGCCAGGGCGUGGGGGAUAACGACAGGAAACGGACGCUAAUACCGCAUACUCUCAGAUGAGGCUCGGCCGGAUUAGCAAGUUGGUGGGGGAAAGGCCUACCAAGGCGACGGUCCGUAACUGGUCUGAGAGGAUGCUCAGUCAGACUGGAACUGAGACACGGUCCAGACUCCUACGGGAGGCAGCAGUGGGGAAUAUUGCACAAUGGGCGAAAGCCUGAUCCAGCCAGGCCGCGUGUGUGAAGAAGGUCUUCGGGUUGUAAAGUACUUUCAGUUGGGAGGCGUUACCAACAGAAUAAGCACCGGCUAACUUCGUGCCAGCAGCCGCGGUAAUAC
rnacentral:rRNA from 1 species